UACGUAGGGGGCUAGCGUUGUCCGGAAUCAUUGGGCGUAAAGCGCGUGUAGGCGGUCCGGUAAGUCCGCUGUGAAAGUCGGGGGCUCAACCCUCGAAUGCCGGUGGAUACUGUCGGGCUAGAGUGCGGAAGAGGCGAGUGGAAUUCCUGGUGUAGCGGUGAAAUGCGCAGAUAUCAGGAGGAACACCAAUAGCGAAGGCAGCUCGCUGGGACGUUACUGACACUAAGGCGCGAAAGCGUGGGGAGCGAACAGG
rnacentral:rRNA from 1 species